rnacentral:rRNA from 1 species
UGCCAGACUCCUACGGGAGGCAGCAGUGGGGGAUAUUGCACAAUGGGGGAAACCCUGAUGCAGCGACGCCGCGUGGGUGAGGAAGUAUUUCGGUAUGUAAAGCCCUAUCAGCAGGGAAGAAGAUGACAGUACCUGACUAAGAAGCCCCGGCUAACUACGUGCCAGCAGCCGCGGUAAUACGUAGGGGGCAAGCGUUAUCCGGAUUCACUGGGUGUAAAGGGAGCGUAGACGGCCAUGCAAGCCUGGAGUGAAAGCCCGGGGCCCAACCCCGGGACUGCUCUGGGAACUGUGCGGCUGGAGUGCGGGAGGGGCAGGCGGAAUUCCUGGUGUAGCGGUGAAAUGCGUAGAUAUCAGGAGGAACACCGGUGGCGAAGGCGGCCUGCUGGACUGCGACUGACGUUGAGGCCCGAAAGCGUGGGGAGCAAACAGGAUUAGAUACCCGUGUAC